rnacentral:rRNA from 1 species
ACGCUGGCGGCGUGCCUAACACAUGCAAGUUGAGCGCGAAAGGGAGCAAUCCCCGGUAGAGCAGCGCACGGGUGAGUAACACGUGAGUAAUCUUCCUUCGUGUCAGGAAUAACCACUGGAAACGGUGGCUAAUACUCGAUAAGCCCACAAUCCCCUCGGGGAAUGAGGGAAAAGGGGGGCGCAAGCCUCUCGCACGAAGAUGAGCUCGCGGUCCAUUAGCUAGUUGGCGGGGUAAUGGCCCACCAAGGCGAUGAUGGAUAGCUGGUCUGAGAGGACGAUCAGCCACACUGGGACUGAGACACGGCCCAGACUCCUACGGGAGGCAGCAGUGGGGAAUCUUGCGCAAUGGACGAAAGGUCUGACGCAGCAACGCCGCGUGAGUGAUGAAGGUCUUUGGAUCGUAAAGCUCUUUCGGGAGGGAAGAAAUGGUUGUGCGCUAAUACCGCAUAGCCUUGACGGUACCUUCAGAAGAAGCACCGGCUAACUCUGUGCCAGCAGCCG